GUCGAAUCUGUGUAAGAUAUUUUUGUAUUCGGAAGUUUCCAACAUAAAGGUAUAUUGAUCGAAAAUUCAGGUAAAUAUUACGCUAAGGGUAAUUCUAGUUGUCAUAUAUACGGUUAUAGGCUAUACCGAUUUGUUUUCCUUUGUAUAAAUUGUAAAAAAAAUAAAAAUUGUAAAAAAAUGUGGUGCAGCACAGGCGAAAUGAACUGUGACGAAUAACAACAAGCAGUAGCAGAAGGGUGAAGUAAAGAAGAACAGGAAGAAGAAGCACGUGAAUAUGUCAGAUAUGUAAAACCAUUGUUGUAGGUUAGACGCGUGAAAUUUGAAACAAGUAAGAAAGGAACAAAAAGAGAGAAGAAAUUGAGGAGACUAAAGAACAAAUAAAGAUACAUUUAGGAGAUA